rnacentral:rRNA from 1 species
UACGGGGGGGGCAAGCGUUGUUCGGAAUUACUGGGCGUAAAGGGCUCGUAGGCGGCCAACUAAGUCAGACGUGAAAUCCCUCGGCUUAACCGGGGAACUGCGUCUGAUACUGGAUGGCUUGAGUGUGGGAGAGGAAUGCGGAAUUCCAGGUGUAGCGGUGAAAUGCGUAGAUAUCUGGAGGAACACCGGUGGCGAAGGCGGCGAUUCUGGACCAUUACUGACGCUGAGGAGCGAAAGCCAGGGGAGCAAAGCGGG